GCAACUUCUCUUUUUCUUCAGCUUCCUGGCCAGCUUAGGGGUCUAUUGACCCGAAAAUAUGGUCAUCUUCAAAAACAGCCUUUCCAGUUCCCACAAAGGCACUGGAACACGUAGACAUGCCGAAAGGCAGAACUGUGCUAUGCUCUGUGGUAAUGAAUCAGUGAGAAAAAAAGCUGGAAGAGGGAAGAGAG